rnacentral:rRNA from 1 species
GACGUAGGGCGCGAGCGUUGUCCGGAUUUAUUGGGCGUAAAGAGCUCGUAGGCGGUUUGUCGCGUCGUCCGUGAAAACUCACAGCUUAACUGUGAGCUUGCGGUCGAUACGGGCAGGCUAGAGUAUAGUAGGGGUAAAGGGAAUUUCCAGUGGAGCGGUGAAAUGCGUAGAGAUUGGAAAGAACACCGAUGGCGAAGGCACUUUACUGGGCUAUUACUAACACUCAGAGACGAAAGCUAGGGUAGCAAAUGGG